ACGGGAGGCAGCAGUCGGGAAUAUUGCACAAUGGGGGAAACCCUGAUGCAGUGACGCCGCGUAUAGGAAGAAGGUUUUCGGAUUGUAAACUAUUGUCUAUAGGGAAGAAAAAUGACGGUACCUAUGGAGGAAGGUCCGGCUAACUACGUGCCAGCAGCCGCGGUAAUACGUAGGGACCGAGCGUUGUCCGGAUUUAUUGGGUGUAAAGGGUGCGUAGACGGGUACUUAAGUUGGUUGUGAAAUCCCCAGGCUCAACUUGGGAACUGCAACCAAAACUGAGUAUCUUGAGUGCAGGAGAGGAAAGUGGAAUUCCUAGUGUAGCGGUGAAAUGCGUAGAGAUUAGGAGGAACACCAGUGGCGAAGGCGACUUUCUGGACUGUAACUGACGUUGAGGCACGAAAGUGUGGGGAGCAAACAGGAUUAGAUACCCUGGUA
rnacentral:rRNA from 1 species